CAGUCGCCGCGGGAAUACGGAGGGUGCAAGCGUUAUCCGGAUUUAUUGGGUUUAAAGGGUCCGUAGGCGGAUCUGUAAGUCAGUGGUGAAAUCUCACAGCUUAACUGUGAAACUGCCAUUGAUACUGCAGGUCUUGAGUAAAUUUGAAGUGGCUGGAAUAAGUAGUGUAGCGGUGAAAUGCAUAGAUAUUACUUAGAACACCAAUUGCGAAGGCAGGUCACUAAGAUUUAACUGACGCUGAUGGACGAAAGCGUGGGGAGCAAACAGGAUUAGAUACCCCGGUAGUCCCUGUCUCUUAUAC
rnacentral:rRNA from 1 species